GAUGAACGCUGGCGGCGUGCCUAAUACAUGCAAGUCGAGCGGACCAAAGAGAGCUUGCUCUCUGAGGUUAGCGGCGGACGGGUGAGUAACACGUGGGUAACCUGCCUGUAAGACGGGGAUAACUUCGGGAAACCGAAGCUAAUACCGGAUGAUAAAGAGAAACGCCUGUUUCUCUUUUGAGAGUCGGCCUUGUGCUGACGCUUACAGAUGGGCCCGCGGCGCAUUAGCUAGUUGGUGAGGUAACGGCUCACCAAGGCGACGAUGCGUAGCCGACCUGAGAGGGUGAUCGGCCACACUGGGACUGAGACACGGCCCAGACUCCUACGGGAGGCAGCAGUAGGGAAUCUUCGGCAAUGGACGAAAGUCUGACCGAGCAACGCCGCGUGAGCGAUGAAGGCCUUCGGGUCGUAAAGCUCUGUUGUCAGAGAAGAACAAGUACCGGAGUAACUGCCGGUACCUUGACGAUACCUGACCAGAAAGCCACGGCUAACUACGUGCCAGCCGCCGCUGUAA
rnacentral:rRNA from 1 species